GAUGAACGCUAGCGGCAAGCCUAACACAUGCAAGUCGAACGGUAACUUUUGGUGCUUGCACCGAAAGACGAGUGGCGAACGGGUGCGUAACGCGUAUGCAAUCUACCUUUUACUAGAGUAUAGCCCAGAGAAAUUUGGAUUAAUCCUCUAUAACAUCAUUAAUUCGCAUGAAUUUAUGAUUAAAGCUUCGGCGGUUAAAGAUGAGCAUGCGUCCUAUUAGUUAGUAGGUGAGGUAACGGCUCACCUAGACUACGAUAGGUAGGGGUCCUGAGAGGGAGAUCCCCCACACUGGUACUGAGACACGGACCAGACUCCUACGGGAGGCAGCAGUGAGGAAUAUUGGACAAUGGACGAAAGUCUGAUCCAGCUAUGCCGCGUGCAGGAUGACAGCCCUACGGGUUGUAAACUGCUUUUAUACAGGAAGAAAACCUUCGACGUGUCGAAGCUUGACGGUACUGUAAGAAUAAGGAUCGGCUAACUCCGUGCCAGCCGCCG
rnacentral:rRNA from 1 species